ensembl:lncRNA
UUUCAGUGACUGCUGCUUAUACCACAGGUUAAUACACUCUACUGAUCCCUGAUGGGAGAAUCUUCACCUCUGCCAACAAAGAAGCCUGGUGGAUAUUUGUUUGCAGUCUGAUGAUGGGACAUCAUGCUCUGCAUCUUCAAAGUUUGUCUCUUGAUUAUUAUUCAUACACAGUAAUGUGAAGCAUGCUUAUAUCUAGUAUAACUGGACCAACCUGGUGCUCUUCAUUUAUGGAGGCUGUUGAGUCUGAAUGUUGGAUGUUGUGUAUCUCGUGUUCUCUGGGCUUUGUUGUCCUCAGUCUUUUUGCAGGAUCAGAAAACAAAACCAGGAGGCACGUAAAUGUUUCUUCUCCAAUUGGAUGAUGAUAAGACUGUGACAUGGGAUGCCACCUUUAGUCUUGUGAUGAAGCAAAGCUCAGGAAGAAGUGUGAUUAAAUGGUACCCACAUGUGUGCUGCUGAGAAGGAUGUACAGGGGCACCUGCAGCCAAAUCCAAGCCUCCUCAGAUGGUGAUGGUGUGGAGAGACAGUGGUGUUUCCUCAGAAGAACUAGCAGAGUCACAAAGGACACGAGUCCAUCUCACCCCCUUGACUUGCUGACUGAUGCUCGUCUGCACUGCACAGAGGAAAUCAACUGACCGAGGAAUGGAGAAAUGGAAUCAAAGGGAGAAGUUUUUGAUGUUUUUGUAAUGAUGUAAGUAAAUCUCCAGUUUCUGAGUGAGGGAGAGAGGAGUCAUCAUCCAGGUAAAGUGACGUGGAUCAGUGGAUACACUUGUCUCCCCUUUAAAGGAGACACUCUUAGAGAGAGACGAUCCGAGUCAUCAUAAAAUGUUAGUGCUUUCAAAUACACAAACAUUUUUAAAGGACAAAAUCGAACAUCCCACUUUGACUGUAAUACAAUUAAAUCUUUGCAUGUGUGUUUUCAAACUCUCAGAUGGGCAGGAUAUCACUAUUGGACUGUCUAACCUGCAGGAGCAGCACUGAAUGACCACCACACAUGAGCAUGUUCCUGCAACAUUCAGCAGCUUUGCUUUUGUGUCAAAUGUCAAACAGCUGGAGAGGAGACUAAACCAGUGUACUGGGAUGUUUCACCAACACGUGCCAGACGCUGUAACUUCAUGGUUUCAUCACCAGAGACAGCCCCGCCCACCUCAGGACCUCGCCAUUGAUCAUGAUGAUUAUAAUAAUGACAGCGAGCGGAACUAAAACUGUAAAAAUCCAUGACCAGAAUGUUUAGAUGCUUUCUAAUUAUUAAUGAAUACUGAGAGCCUCUUUCUGUGUUUUGUCUGUUUUGUUUUGUUUUUUACCUCAUUUGUUACUAACAAAGUUCACCAAACUCACACAGUUUACAUUCUGUAUGUUUCCAUCUUUACCAGCCACACUCUACCCGCAAUUAAGCAAAUAAUCCUUAGAAAUCGUCGUUUUUCUCUUUUGUAAUUGAUGAUAAUUCAGUGAAUAUACUGCGCUGCUUCCUUUUAUUGCAUCACACAUUGCUUUAAGUUUUUCAGUGUCCAGUUAUUUUUUUACUGCUGUUUGAAUUCUCUGCAUGUUUGACCCUGUAGGCUGUUUAAUGGACUGCUUGUCUUGUAACCGCUGCCUGUUUUUGACUAAAGAUUUGGAUUUCUGACUUUAACACAGCCUCUGCGUGUCCUCUCUUUGUGUCCUCGUCCUCUGUGAAUGUGUUGCAUGUGUCACAGAUUCAUUUUAUUAACAGCUUUCCCACAGUGAGUUGCAUCAGCAUUCAUUCACAGCACAUUUCAGAAGGAUUCAGAUUAAUACAGUGAUCUUAUAGUCAGAAUUAUCCUGACAGACUGCCACUGUAAAUUAUCUUUCAUCAGGUCAAUUUUAAAGUUCAGUAUUUCAAAGCAGGCAUUAUGAAGAAUCAUAUUGGCAUUAGGACUGUACCAAUAUGUACUAACAAAGUCAAAGUUUUUUAAUUAUGCUAGAAUAUUGGAAGACAAUCAACUUUUAGUGUUUUCUGCAUAUUAAUUAUACUGAAAUAGAGAUGGUGACCCUAACUGUACAGAAGCACUAAACAACUGACAAUCUAACAGACAUUAUUGGCCUGAGCCGUCAUGCACAGUGAGUCUGAUGCUAUGCUGUGAGAGUCUGAUAAGCAUGUUUCUGGUCAGUUUGGAAGAAAUAACAUCACAAUGUUGAUCUUUUUUUCAAUAUUCCUUUUACAACAAACUGUGAUCAAAGCUACUUAUGUUCACAGCAUGUAAUAAUACUGACAGUCCAGGGCAUUGUGGUCUGUUGAGCUAGGGUUAGGGUUAGGGUUAACAAUUCAGACAUAUGUAAUCAAUCUCUUGCUGGAUAUAACAAACACCUAGGAAUUCAUAUUAUAAUUUGAUUUUCAUGAAAUAUUCAUAUUCAGUAUCAGUCAUUUUAUAUUAUAACCAUGUAUCCACCCAGGCUCAUGGUGGGGCAGGGCUCUGUCCUGGGAUGCUUGAGUACAAGGUAAUGUACACCCUGACCAGGUAUCCAGUCUGUCACAGUUGUUUUCAAUAUUUGGUUCUAAAAUAUGAGUGAAAACAAAAAUCCAACUAGGAUUCUUGCAUAUGAUGGGUGAAGUCUGUCUUUGACUGUAUUGUCCAGCUGAUCCAUCAAACCCCCAGCAGGUGAACCUUAUUCAUGACAUGGUAACAAUGUAAAAAAUUAAACAGAAACAGUCUAAAUGUAAAGUGCAUUCUAAACUCCUCUUCAAUAAAUUAUAUGCAAAGAGUCAUUCAGGACUGUAAAACGUGAACUACAGAACCCAGAGUCUUCAUCAUUAAAUCUGUGGUUGCUUCAUUUUUCUAUCCUAUCUCAGAUACUUUAAAGGUUUUAGUAAAGUUGCAUUCUCAUGGUGAGGCAAAGUGUUUUAUGUGUGUGUGUGCGUGCGUGUCAUGAACGGCUGUAAAAGCCCUUUAAUUACAGAUCAAAGCGGGGUUUGAGUUCGAGUUACGGCAGACUGGCGCUACUUCUAAACGGAACGCAGCCUUCCUACGGCGGACAGCUAAUAACAGGAAUCGGACGCGGUCCACCCUAGUCCACAGCAACCACCAUAGCAACAGCCUAGCAUGUCUUUAAAACACAUUCUUUAUUCAUAACUAUCAAAAACGUGAAAUGAUUUGUAAAGUGUGGAAGUGUUACAGCUGCAGAGAGCUAUGGCGGUAUCUUUGGAAGCUGUUUACAUAGCUAAUAUACGAUGUAACCAUGGAGACAGUCAGUCACGUGAGCUAGCGGUGCACGUUUACUACAGUGAAUAAGGUGAUUGUGUGCACAGCGUCCACACGCUGCACAGGGUAAAGACAUUACUUCAAUAUUGUUUUAUAUUUAUAUAUAUUUGCCUUCUGCUGACCAUCACCUCAGGUUCACCAUUACAGUUUCAGCAUACAAAUGUACACUGUCUAAAUAUGAACACAUUCAAAAAAAUCAUGUCUCAGAAAUAAGCACAGCUGUUCAUGUUUGUCAUUGUGUGGAUGCUUUAAGGCAUCCACACUAUUGAGUUCCUGUUUCUCUUUAUUCUUUAUAAUUAAGCAUCCACACUAUUGUUUUCCUGUUUCUCUUUAUUCUUUAUCUCUACUUUAUUCUAGUUGCUCCGUACAUUUUUUGGCACUUAACUACUUCCACAAUUUUCAGCCGAUUUUUACGGUUCAAAUUUUAAACUAUUCUGCUAAUGUACGCUAUAUCUUUUGGUAUUUUUCACUAUUAUACUUUUUAAAAUAUUACACUUUUUUCUUUU